UUGCAAGGUGAUAUCCCAUUCAAAGGGUACAGAAAUGACAGAAGUGAUCCUCCUAUUCAGCUUCCUUCAAAAGGGACUUGUUGAUUACAUAUAAUUUGUAUGUCAUGAAGUAAGUGUGGGGAGCAUCAGAAUUAUAUGACUAUACUCUCAAAGAAGUAUACAUUUACAAUGUUGUAAGUAUUAUGGUUUCUCUUGUACACGUGUAUGGGAUAUUUUAGAAUGCAGUGACCUAUGAUGAUGUGCAUGUCGACUUCACUUGGGAAGAGUGGACUUUACUGGAUCCUUCCCAGAAGAAUCUCUACAAAGAUGUGAUGCUGGAAACCUACAGGAACCUCACUAUUAUAGGAUACAAUUGGGAAGACCAUAAUACUGAAGAGCAUCUUCAAAGUUCUAGAGGAGAUGAAAGUCAUGAACAAAAUCAAACUGGAAAGAAACAUACUAUAUACACUCAAUGUGUUAAAGAUCUUUCAUAUCCCAGUACUCUUCAAAUGUAUGAAAAAGAACAUACUGGAGAGAAACCCUAUGAAUAUAAUCAAUGUGGUAAAGCUUUUGAAUUUCAAAACUAUCUUCAAGAACAUAAAAGAAAGCAUACUGGAGAGAAACCC